rnacentral:rRNA from 1 species
AUAGUUCAUAGGGGAGUCACGCUGGAAUGCCGACUCUCCCAAACGCUUACGCGCCGUAGGAUGUGGCUGCGGCCGAUUAGGUAGACGGUGGGGUAACGGCCCACCGUGCCGAUAAUCGGUACGGGUUGUGAGAGCAAGAGCCCGGAGACGGAAUCUGAGACAAGAUUCCGGGCCCUACGGGGCGCAGCAGGCGCGAAACCUUUACACUGCACGCAAGUGCGAUAAGGGGACCCCAAGUGCGAGGGCAUAUAGUCCUCGCUUUUCCCGACUGUAAGGCGGUCGGGGAAUAAGAGCUGGGCAAGACCGGUGCCAGCCGCCGCGGUAAUACCGGCAGCUCAAGUGAUGACCGAUAUUAUUGGGCCUAAAGCGUCCGUAGCCGGCCACGAAGGUCUAUCGGGAAAUCCGCCAGCUUAACUGGCGGGCGUCCGGUGGAAACCACAUGGCUUGGGACCGGAAGGCUCGAGGGGUACGUCCGGGGUAGGAGUGAAAUCCCGUAAUCCUGGACGGACCACCGAUGGCGAAAGCACCUCGAGAAGACGGAUCCGACGGUGAGGGACGAAAGCUAGGGUCUCGAACCGGAUUAGAUACCCGGGUAGUCCUAGCUGUAAACGAUGCUCGCUAGGUGUGGCACAGGCUCCGAGCCUGUGCUGUGCCGUA